AAAAUAUUUAUCAUGGGGUCCGGGUCCGGCCGUCGAUCCCCAUCCGCCACAAUCCGGCUGACCCCUCGGCAGGGAUGGGCAGCCUGUGGAAGGGCUUGUUUCGCCCCGUCACUUAGUAUUCUGAUUGAAUGGAAAGUGGGUCAUCUGUUGACCAAAAAAAAUGGCGGAUCGCAUCCGGCUCUCAAAGUAAUUUUGUAUAGCUGGCAAAGAUCUCUCAACUAUUUGUUUAAAUGCAUGUUAAAAUCAUCGUAUUACAAUUUAAGUUGUUAAAAAAAUUAAAAUUUUAAAGCGUACAGUACUCAGCUUGCGUUGUGCUAUCAGUAACUACUGUAUCCAUGGACUUUCAGAAAAAUGCGAGGCCCGAGGCAACUGAUAUUUUUGAGGCCCUUUAAAAAAUAA
rnacentral:lncRNA from 1 species